CUCGAGGCCAGAUCUUUCCGGUUGAUCCUGCCGGACCCUACUGCUAUCGGAUUGGGACUAAGCCAUGCGAGUCAACCCGCAAGGGUGGCGCACGGCUCAGUAACACGUAGUCAACCUACCCUGAGGACGAGGAUAACCCCGGGAAACUGGGGAUAAACCUCGAUAGGUCAUAGUUUCUGGAAUGGGCUAUGGCUCAAAUCUAUAUGGCCUCAGGAUGGGACUGCAUCCGAUCAGGUUGUUGGUGGGGUAAUGGCCCACCAAGCCUAUAACCGGUACGGGCUCUGAGAGGAGGAGCCCGGAGAUGGGCACUGAGACAAGGGCCCAGGUCCUAUGGGGCGCAGCAGGCGCGAAACCUCCGCAAUGGGCGAAAGCCCGACGGGGUCAGUCCGAGUGGCUCCCGCUAAGGGAGUCUUUUGCCAGCUGUAAACAGGCUGGUGAAUAAGGGGUGGGCAAACCUGGUGUCAGCCGCCGCGGUAAUACCAGCACCCCGAGUGGUCGGGAUGAUUAUUGGGCCUAAAGCAUCCGUAGCCGGUGUAACAAGUCCUCCGUUAAA
rnacentral:rRNA from 1 species